rnacentral:rRNA from 1 species
CAGUAGCCGCGGGAAUACGAAGGGGGCUAGCGUUGUUCGGAAUUACUGGGCGUAAAGCGCACGUAGGCGGACAUUUAAGUCAGGGGUGAAAUCCCGGGGCUCAACCCCGGAACUGCCUUUGAUACUGGGUGUCUAGAGUAUGGAAGAGGUGAGUGGAAUUCCGAGUGUAGAGGUGAAAUUCGUAGAUAUUCGGAGGAACACCAGUGGCGAAGGCGGCUCACUGGUCCAUUACUGACGCUGAGGUGCGAAAGCGUGGGGAGCAAACAGGAUUAGAUACCCCUGUAGUCCCUGUCUCUUAUAC